rnacentral:rRNA from 1 species
GACAAACGCUGGCGGCGUGCCUAACACAUGCAAGUCGAACGGAGAUUGCGAGGGAGCUUGCUCCCAUGCAAUUUUAGUGGCGGACGGGUGAGUAACGCGUGAGUAACCUGCCUUGGAGAGGGGAAUAACACAAAGAAAUUUGUGCUAAUACCGCAUAUGGUGAUAGUACCGCAUGGUAUAGUCAUGAAAGAUUUAUCGCUCCAAGAUGGACUCGCGUCCGAUUAGCCAGUUGGCGGGGUAACGGCCCACCAAAGCAACGAUCGGUAGCCGGACUGAGAGGUUGAACGGCCACAUUGGGACUGAGACACGGCCCAGACUCCUACGGGAGGCAGCAGUGGGGAAUAUUGGUCAAUGGGGGAAACCCUGAACCAGCAACGCCGCGUGAAGGACGAAGGUCUUCGGAUCGUAAACUUUUGUCGUAUGGGACGAAAAAUGACGGUACCAUACAAGGAAGCCACGGCUAACUACGUG